UACAGAGGGUGCAAGCGUUAAUCGGAAUUACUGGGCGUAAAGCGUGCGUAGACGGUUAUUUAAGUCAGGUGUGAAAGCCCCGGGCUCAACCUGGGAAUUGCAUUUGAGACUGAAUAGCUAGGGUGCGGAAGAGGGAAGCGGAAUUUCCGGUGUAGCGGUGAAAUGCGUAGAUAUCGGAAGGAGCACUAGUGGCGAAAGCGGCUUCCUGGUCCAGCACCGACGUUCAGGCACGAAAGCGUGGGGAGCAAACAGG
rnacentral:rRNA from 1 species